rnacentral:rRNA from 1 species
GACGUAGGGCGCGAGCGUUGUCCGGAAUCAUUGGGCGUAAAGAGCGCGUAGGCGGCCCUGUAAGUCCGCUGUGAAAGUCAAGGGCUCAACCCUUGAAUGCCGGUGGAUACUGCAGGGCUAGAGUCCGGAAGAGGCGAGUGGAAUUCCACGUGUAGCAGUGAAAUGCGUAGAGAUGUGGAGGAAUACCGAUGGCGAAGGCAGCCCCCUGGGAUAACACUGACGCUCAUGCACGAAAGCGUGGGGAGCAAACAGG